rnacentral:rRNA from 1 species
ACCUCGGAUCAGGUAGGGAUACCCGCUGAACUUAAGCAUAUCAAAAGGCCGGAGGAAA